CACGUAGUUAGCCGUGGCUUAUUCGACAGGUACCGUCUUCUACUCUUCCCUGCCAAAAGAAGUUUACAACCCGAAAGCCUUCUUCCUUCACGCGGCGUUGCUGGGUCAGGCUUGCGCCCAUUGCCCAAUAUUCCCCACUGCUGCCUCCCGUAGGAGUCUGGGCCGUAUCUCAGUCCCAAUGUGGCCGGCCAACCUCUCAGUCCGGCUACUGAUCGUCGCCUUGGUGAGCCGUUACCUCACCAACUAGCUAAUCAGACGCGAGGCCAUCUUUCAGCGAUAAAUCUUUGACAUAAAUGCCAUGCGACACCUAUGUGUUAUGCGGUAUUAGCAGUCGUUUCCAACUGUUGUCCCCCUCUGAAAGGCAGGUUCCUCACGCGUUACUCACCCGUCCGCCACUAAGCAACCUAUUCCGUUGACCGAAAUCUCCUUCAUAGGCGCUCCGUUCGACUUGCAUGUGUUAAGCACGCCGCCAGCGUUCGUCCUGAGCCAGGAUCAAACUCU
rnacentral:rRNA from 1 species